rnacentral:tRNA from 1 species
GUGGGCAUAGCUCAGUGGUAGAGCACGUGCUUAGCAUUCACAAGGUCCUGGGUUUAAGCCCCGGUACCUCCA